UAAGCCUGAUCCUCCCAUUCUCCUCCUGGUGAUUCGAGGGAAAACCCUUCUCAUCCCCCUGCUGACCCUGUCCCAGCCCUGCCAAGAAGGAACUUUUUCCUUUACUUAUGUAUUCAUCCAACCAACCAACCAAGGUUUCGUAUACCACGUGCUCUGCCUUGAGUUAUAUGCUGGAGACCCAAAGGUGACCAAAGCAUUCAGUGAGACUCAUCGGCCUGAUCGUCAUCUCAGCAGGCAGACAUCAUCAAACGACAAGACACAACAUCAUUUUCAGCUCCUCCUGCUGCAGAGAAAGUGUGCAAAAUGUCCCAAGGCUUCUGACACCAGUUUAGGAAGCAUGCAGACGGCUCCAAAGGAAAUGAAAUAGUAGAUACCUUCACUGAGAACAGCACAGAAGAGUCUAAAGAGCAAAAUAUCACCCAGCAACAACAUCCCAAUCUUCUCGGCCCUCUCUAAAUGCAGUUGUCAAAUGCAACACCAGCCAACAGAAAUAGAAUGUGAGCCACAUGUGCGCUUUUGAAUGUUUAUGGAUCUUGAAACAUUGAUGAAAUUACUCUCAGAC
rnacentral:lncRNA from 1 species